UAAUACAUGCAAGUCGAACGCUUCUUUUCCACCGGAGCUUGCUCCACCGGAAAAAGAGGAGUGGCGAACGGGUGAGUAACACGUGGGUAACCUGCCCAUCAGAAGGGGAUAACACUUGGAAACAGGUGCUAAUACCGUAUAACAAUCAAAACCGCAUGGUUUUGAUUUGAAAGGCGCUUUCGGGUGUCGCUGAUGGAUGGACCCGCGGUGCAUUAGCUAGUUGGUGAGGUAACGGCUCACCAAGGCCACGAUGCAUAGCCGACCUGAGAGGGUGAUCGGCCACAUUGGGACUGAGACACGGCCCAAACUCCUACGGGAGGCAGCAGUAGGGAAUCUUCGGCAAUGGACGAAAGUCUGACCGAGCAACGCCGCGUGAGUGAAGAAGGUUUUCGGAUCGUAAAACUCUGUUGUUAGAGAAGAACAAGGAUGAGAGUAACUGUUCAUCCCUUGACGGUAUCUAACCAGAAAGCCACGGCUAACUACGUGCCAGCAGCCGCGGUAAUACGUAGGUGGCAAGCGUUGUCCGGAUUUAUUGGGCGUAAAGCGAGCGCAGGCGGUUUCUUAAGUCUGAUGUGAAGCCCCCGGCUCAACCGGGGAGGGUCAUUGGAAACUGGGAGACUUGAGUGCAGAAGAGGAGAGUGGAAUUCCAUGUGUAGCGGUGAAAUGCGUAGAUAUAUGGAGGAACACCAGUGGCGAAGGCGGCUCUCUGGUCUG
rnacentral:rRNA from 1 species